CUGGCGGCGUGCCUAACACAUGCAAGUCGAGCGGAGUUUUCUUUGGCACUGGGUGUUCAGACAGCGUCAAGACCUGUCAAGGGCUUUACGCGUUUAAGAAAGUGGAUAACACUUUCGGGAUGAACAUUGAGUGCUGAAGAAAACUUAGCGGCGGACGGGUGAGUAACGCGUGGGCAACCUGCCCUUAAGAGGGGGAUAACACUAAGAAAUUGGUGCUAAUACCGCAUAAAGUAUCGUUGCUGCAUGGCGAGGAUAUCAAAGGAGAAAUCCGCUUAAGGAGGGGCCCGCGUCUGAUUAGCUAGUUGGUGAGGUAAAGGCUCACCAAGGCGACGAUCAGUAGCCGACCUGAGAGGGUGAUCGGCCACACUGGAACUGAGACACGGUCCAGACUCCUACGGGAGGCAGCAGUGGGGAAUAUUGCGCAAUGGGGGAAACCCUGACGCAGCAACGCCGCGUGGAGGAAGAAGGUCUUCGGAUUGUAAACUCCUGUCUUCUGGGACGAAAAAUGACGGUACCAGAGGAGGAAGCCACGGCUAACUACGUGCCAGCAGCCGCGGUAAUACGUAGGUGGCAAGCGUUGUCCGGAAUUAUUGGGCGUAAAGGGCGCGUAGGCGGCAGCCUAAGUCAGAUGUGAAACCCCGGGGCUUAACUCCGGACGUGCAUUUGAAACUGGGUAGCUA
rnacentral:rRNA from 1 species